rnacentral:rRNA from 1 species
GUGGGGAAUAUUGGACAAUGGGCGCAAGCCUGAUCCAGCCAUGCCGCGUGAGUGAUGAAGGCCCUAGGGUUGUAAAGCUCUUUCACCGGUGAAGAUAAUGACGGUAACCGGAGAAGAAGCCCCGGCUAACUUCGUGCCAGCAGCCGCGGUAAUACGAAGGGGGCUAGCGUUGUUCGGAAUUACUGGGCGUAAAGCGCACGUAGGCGGACUGGUCAGUUAGGGGUGAAAUCCCAGGGCUCAACCCUGGAACUGCCUUUAAUACUGCCAGUCUAGAGUUCGAGAGAGGUGAGUGGAAUUCCGAGUGUAGAGGUGAAAUUCGUAGAUAUUCGGAGGAACACCAGUGGCGAAGGCGGCUCACUGGCUCGAUACUGACGCUGAGGUGCGAAAGCGUGGGGAGCAAACAGGAUUAGAAACCCCGGUAGUCC